rnacentral:rRNA from 1 species
AGCCCUACAACUAGCCCGCAAAAAUAAAAGCAACAUACCACUAAAAUAACCCCGAAUGGUCUCAACACCUAGCAAACAAACCAUUUUUCCCCCUUAGUAUGGG